rnacentral:piRNA from 1 species
UAGCAACCUUCCAAUUGUGACAAAAUAAAU